rnacentral:rRNA from 1 species
AUGAUUUUGGAUAGAUGUGGGGGCUCCCCUUUAGCUGCCAAAGCCUUUGGAUCUAUGUUGUGUAACAGGACUAGCAUGAAAGAAUGGAAGAACGUACUAACCAGAAGCAUCGAUGGCAACGAGAAGAUAGGAACUUUUGCAAUACUCAAACUCAACUAUGAUGACUUGUUAUCACACUUACAACAAUGCUUUGCUUGUUAUGCAGUAUUUUCGAAAGAUUACCAGAUUGAUGUGGAGAUUUUAGUCCAGUUAUGGAUGGAACAUGAAGGUGACAAUUUUGAAACGGUAGGCAAAGAAUUUUUUAAAAAUCUAACUUGGAGGUCAUUCUUUCAAGAGGGCAAGCAAACCCCCAAGGUGCAUUCUGGGGGAAGAUUCGUUCUAGAACAAUAUGCAAGAUACAUGAUCUUAUACAUGACAUUGCCUCAUCUGUUAUGGGGAAAUAUUGUCUUACCAUGUAUGUUGUCUAGCCUCUAG